rnacentral:lncRNA from 1 species
GGUAAUUGUAUGACAAUGGAGAGGUGAUUACUGCGCUGAAAAUCAGUUUCCUGAAGUGAAAAAGGGAAUCAAGUUACGUCGCAGAGCCUGGCGUGAGCGGCGCUCAGUCAACACCAGCUCUUCAUGGGUUGUGGUUUCCUCCAGUUCCUGGAUGUGCGGAGUUCAUCCUCCAUUGACUGGCGCCCCGAUUGACAAUGAGGUCUGAUGGUCCAGCUCUGCAUCGGUGUGCUUGUCCUAAAGGAAAACGAAGUGAGAGCUUCCUG